rnacentral:lncRNA from 1 species
AUGAAAAGAUUUGAUGAGAACAGUGUUGAGAGAAUAUUAGCAGCUGUUUGUAAGAGACUGUUACAGCAAAAAGCUGUAGCAAAGGAACAACCAAUAGUGAUUUUCUCUAUGGCAGGGGAGCUAGCUAGGUUAAAAAGGAAUCUAGUGAUGAAUCAGGCUCGCAUCAAUAGCCAUAGGUGGGAUCAAUGGAGUUUAAUUCUUGGAGACAAUCAGUUAGAUUGGAGGAGAAUUAAACAGAAAAGGAAGGAUAAGAUUACUAGGUAUCAUGAGAACCAUAAGCACUUACCCAAAUAUUUCACUGAUGGAAGUGAGAGGGGAGGGAAAGUUAAGUGGGGAUACUUAGUUAAAUUUAAUAGACAGCUGAUCACAUCACAGAAAGAGGAAAUCCAGGGGACCGCUCAGUUAGCAGAAGUAACAGCUGUUGAACGUACCCUACAGAGGGCUGUUGAGCUGGGUCAUACAGAGAUUGUCCUGACAUGUGAUUCAGAAUAUGUUACAGAUGGGAUUAACCUGGAGCUAGACAAGUGGAAAGCUAAUGACUUUCACACAGCUAAAGGUAAACCAAUGGCACAUAGAGAUCAGUGGAAAAAUAUAGCCAAUUUACUAGAGAAAGUAAAGGCUCAUGUUUAUCACCAGUUUAGCCACACACAGCAAACUAAUGAGUCGGCUGAAGGAAAUAGACAGGUAGAUAAACUUAUAGGUCGAGUUAAGACCAAAGAAAUAACAGAGUUAUUUCAGAAACUGCAUAAUGAGUUAAACCAUCCCAGUGUUAAAAUGAUUCAGGUGGAGCUUAGAUUAAGAAAUCUAAACAUUCCUAAUUGGAGGAAUCAUUACAGGGAGGUGAGGAAAGAAUGCCAGGUAUGCAGGAAGUUUAUGACAGCUAAGGGUUGUGAGGAAAGUGAAUUACCAAAGGAGUAUCCUUCACAACAGAUUAGCAUUGACUUUGCAGUGCUAUUGUGCCCUAAGACUAAAAAGGGGAACUGCUAUUUUCUGCUCGCCAUUGACAACCACACUAAGAAAACCAUGAUAUGGCCUUUAAGGUCAGCACUUGAAGCAAAGGUAGUAGAGUGUUUAACAGAAUGGAUUAGGUGGCAGGGACCAAUGGAGAGUUUGAGAGCAGAUGGCGCACAUAACAUAAGUGGGAAACUAGUACAGAAAUUCUGUGAAAAGAAUAGAAUAAUAGUAGUUAAAUCAAUAGCCUACCGUCCAGAGACAAAUGGAAUUGCAGAACGUGCAAUUAGAAAUGUUAAGGAAUGGUUUGCUAAAAAUAAAGCCUUAGGUGACUGGGAUCAGAACAUUGAUCGGUGUUUAUUACACCUCAACAGGUACAAUACGGUGAACCUGAAAGAAAGGGAGGUUAAGAAAAACACAAGGUUCGAUGUUGGUGAUGAAGUCAUUAUAACACGAAGGCACAAAGUAGGUAAGUUCUCUGAGGGGUUGGGUACUGUUGAUAUAGUGAAAGCAAUAACAGGAUCCAAUACAGUAGAACUAGAAAAUAACGGAAUCCAGAGUAAUAAGGAUUUAGUAAGGAAAUCAAUAAUGGAGAGAGUAAAGUCCAUUAUUAAUCAAAAAGGCCUAAUCCGGGUGGAGCAUGGUAAGCAUGGGUCAAGAGCAUUUCUAUGGUUGGAACCAGAGAUGAAAAGGUACCUUGGCUAUGAAGGAACAUAUGCCAAAGCAAUAGAAGUAACAGUACGACCGUUCUGCUGUGUGAUAUGCAAUCAACAAUGUGCUAUGCAGAGUCUAUCGUUUGGUGACGAAAAGAAGGACAUGGGUGCAGAGUGGUUGAUGCAUAAACAAACUCACACAGAGAUAUCUGGAGUACUGAUUUGUGAGAACUGUAGGCCAGGACUCCCCAAGCUAAGAAUAGAUUCCUAUAAAGUGUCUGGGAAUUUUGGAGAGAGAUGCGGUUGCACUUGGGAUGGCACAGUUUUGUGGUCAUGUAUGGUCUGUAAGGCAAAAGAGAGGACUCUGAUGUCCUCUAGGUCAGUUUGGGAGACGCUAAGAGUCCUCAAACCACUGGGAUUAUUCCAGGAAGGAAUAAUGACCAGGUUCUCUAGACAUCCUUAUAUUGGGAUGAGAGAACAUGAAAGAGAGGCUUUUCUUGGAGCAAGAAUGCCUAUGGUUCCCAAGAAUGGGAAAGGAACUAGGAACAAAACUCUUCUAGGGAAAGAAGAUUUUGCAAGAGAAAUAAAAAGACAGGAUCGAGAAAAGGAUCUAUCUUUUACAGACAUUGAGUCAAUGAGAUGGGAGCUGUCAUGGUGGACACAACCCAUUCUAAGAUGUUUCCCUGUGGUAGAUCCUAAGCAAGGGUCUCGAGGGAAGAUUGCCUGGAUUUAUGUACAAAUCGGUGAUCAGUGGCAAGUUCGAAGCUGGGGCCAUCUAGCGGUAGAACUGGUACAGGGAAGUGGCUGGUUGAAUAGCCCUCCCUAUGAGAAAGACUUUAGAGCGACACAGCCUCGUUCUAAUGUGACAAAGGAGAAACGAAAAUCUACAAGGAAAGAGAAAUUUGUGCAGUUAACAGUGUCCUUAGUAAAAGACCUGGAUAAGCACAAAAUUUGGUGUCCUGAAGAUGAGACAUAUAAGUUUGUAAGUUAUUAUGAUAACGAGCAGAUCACAGAAGUACCAAGUGAAACCUUUACUGUUGUAAUGCAUUUUAAGUUGAAUGUAUUGUCAUGUUCACACCCUGAUUAUGAUUGGAUUGGGGGAUUGGAAGUUGAGUUACAUGAUAAACAGCCAGAGAUAAAGGUUAUCAAAAAAGGUAUAUUUAGGAGGACUAGAAGGCUCAUAACUGGGCCUCAGAACUAA